UACGGAGGAUGCGAGCGUUAUCCGGAUUUAUUGGGUUUAAAGGGUGCGUAGGCGGGAUGCCAAGUCAGCGGUAAAAAUACGGUGCUCAACGCCGUCGAGCCGUUGAAACUGGCGUUCUUGAGUGGGCGAGAAGUAUGCGGAAUGCGUGGUGUAGCGGUGAAAUGCAUAGAUAUCACGCAGAACUCCGAUUGCGAAGGCAGCAUACCGGCGCCCUACUGACGCUGAGGCACGAAAGCGUGGGUAUCGAACAGG
rnacentral:rRNA from 1 species